GAUGAACGCUAGCGGGAGGCCUAACACAUGCAAGCCGAGCGGUAUUGUUUCUUCGGAAAUGAGAGAGCGGCGUACGGGUGCGUAACACGUGUGCAACCUGCCUUUAUCUGGGGGAUAGCCUUUCGAAAGGAAGAUUAAUACUCCAUAAUAUAUUGAACGGCAUCGUUUAAUAUUGAAAGCUCCGGCGGAUAGAGAUGGGCACGCGCAAGAUUAGCUAGUUGGUGAGGUAACGGCCCACCAAGGCGAUGAUCUUUAGGGGGCCUGAGAGGGUGAUCCCCCACACUGGUACUGAGACACGGACCAGACUCCUACGGGAGGCAGCAGUGAGGAAUAUUGGUCAAUGGGUGCAAGCCUGAACCAGCCAUCCCGCGUGAAGGACGACUGCCCUAUGGGUUGUAAACUUCUUUUGUAUAGGGAUAAACCUACCCUCGUGAGGGUAGCUGAAGGUACUAUACGAAUAAGCACCGGCUAACUCCGUG
rnacentral:rRNA from 1 species